GUACCCGCUGGAACUAAGCAUAUCAAUAAGCGGAGGAAAAGAAACCAACAGGGAUUGCCCUAGUAACGGCGAGUGAAGCGGCAACAGCUCAAAUUGAAUCUGGCCCUUGGGUCCGAGUUGUAAUUUGUAGAGGAUGCUUUUGGCGCGGUGCCUUCCGAGUUCCCUGGAACGGGACGCCUUAGAGGGUGAGAGCCCCGUACGGUUGGACACCAAGCCUCUGUAAAGCUCCUUCGACGAGUCGAGUAGUUUGGGAAUGCUGCUCUAAAUGGGAGGUAAAUUUCUUCUAAAGCUAAAUAUUGGCCAGAGACCGAUAGCGCACAAGUAGAGUGAUCGAAAGAUGAAAAGCACUUUGAAAAGAGGGUUAAAUAGCACGUGAAAUUGUUGAAAGGGAAGCGUUUGCGACCAGACCUUUUCCCGGCGGAUCAUCCGGUGUUCUCACCGGUGCACUUCGCCGGGUUUAGGCCAGCAUCGGUUUCUGUAGGGGGAUAAAAGCUUUGGGAACGUAGCUCCCUCGGGAGUGUUAUAGCCCUUUGCAUAAUACCCUUACGGGGACCGAGGACCGCGCUACGGCAAGGAUGCUGGCAUAAUGGUCGUCAACGACCCGUCUUGAAACACGGACCAAGGAGUCGAACAUUUGUGCGAGUGUUUGGGUGUUAAACCCUCACGCGUAAUGAAAGUGAACGGAGGUGAGAGCCCUUACGGGUGCAUCAUCGACCGAUCCUGAUGUCUUCGGAUGGAUUUGAGUAAGAGCAUAACUGUUCGGACCCGAAAGAUGGUGAACUAUGCGUGGAUAGGGUGAAGCCAGAGGAAACUCUGGUGGAGGCUCGCAGCGGUUCUGACGUGCAAAUCGAUCGUCAAAUCUGCGCAUGGGGGCGAAAGACUAUCGAACCAUCUAAGUCUC
rnacentral:rRNA from 1 species